rnacentral:rRNA from 2 species
UGGUUACUAUAGCAAAGAGGAUACACCUGUUCCCAUUCCGAACACAGAAGUUAAGCUCUUUAGCGCCGAUGGUACUUGGUGGGAAGCUGCCUGGGAGAGUAGGACGUAGCCGCGUA